rnacentral:siRNA from 1 species
CGGGAUCCCUCGCGGGUGCAC